rnacentral:rRNA from 3 species
AAAUGGACUCUCAGCAACGGAUAUCUUGGCUCU